ACCUCCAGGGCAGGAGAAGGGAGGCAGAGCGGGCUGGGAAUGCAAGGAGGGCAGCCCUGGAGGAUGGGUUUGGAGGCGAGGCAGCCCUGAAUGUAGACCAGCCUUGGUGCAGGACUGAGCAGAUGCAUUCUUCUGCGGGCCAAGGCUGAAGGGAACUCUUCUGUGUAUGGCUGAUGUGCUGCAUCUUGCUUGACUCAGGCCUCGUAAAGGUUAAUUUUUUUGGAUUACAUCAUGGCUAUGCUGCCAGGGGAAUUCUAUGAGCUAUUGUGCAAAAACAUAAAUGUUACGAUCUGAUCUCUGGUGUGAAUGUACUCUCAUACUGAAGAACCCUAAGUAAAAACAAUCAAUUCUAAAUCA